AUUUGUUUGAAGGGGAUUCAUCUGGAAUUUUGGACUGAUGUCCCACAAUACAAGCUAUAAGCUCCCAGACACCACUAAAGUUGAUUUGAAUGCUAGGAAAAAACAUCUUAUUAGCAAGAUCAGUUCAGUAGUGGAACUAAUUACUAAAUUGUAUUUAGUCCCCUUUGUUUGACAUGUUUGGUUUCCAGGCCCAUUCCAAAUCUAUGAUCAGCAUGUCUCUUGUGUGUAUGACCUGGCCCCAAUGGCCCCAAUGAAUUCAGUAAGAGGAAAAUAGAUGUAAUUUACACUGCAAUUGGAUACCUGACGUUGUUAAACAUCCCCCCCCCCCCAACUGCUUUUGGUGAAUUUCUCAUAGUGCCAUUUGCUACUCAAGAGGUUGGAGGGAUAAAUCAUGUACAAAGGGCAGUUUGAAAGCCAUUGUUUUUUGAAGACAAUCCAAAAUCACGUUCUAGGUAAAUUAUCCUGAACUGGUGCCUGGUGGCUCAGGUAGACAUUGGGUUGGAAUUUAGCAAGUCUUUGUUUGAGACCCAAGUGCUGCUGCAUGGCAGAGCGAGCUGAGCAAGCUCCAGCUGCUUGAUGGGGACAUGAACCCCAAGGGCCGUCCCCUAGAUGAUGGUGAUGUUACUGGCUAAACCUUUCAACCUGGAAGCGCCUUAAAUGAUGCCUCCAGCUUGAAUAGGAUGGGAACUUGGGCCAAAAACUGAUGUAUUAAUUAAAAUUAAUGCAGUGUACCAUGAUAAAAAUGAUUUGGUUGUUGAAUCUACAGAGAUUGUUCUAAUAUUGGUUUACAGUUCAUAAUCUAAAAGGUUCAGAUAAAUAUAAAAAAGAUUAAGAACUCUUAAUCUUUUAAGAUUAAGAUUUAAGAUUAAGAGAUCCAAGAUGGCACCGCCGAAGGCUGCCUCAGUGAAAUGCUCUCUAAUGGUUUCUUUAUUUUUCGUUAUUCUCUGCGACUCACUAUGGAUUUCUUACUCAUGAGACCAUCUGCUAAAAAUUAAGCAACGUUUCUUUAAGAAGCAGCUUUCUGUGAUCUCACACCCCCCCGUCUUUACAAACGCGGAGGAGAUUCUAACACAGGAAGAAGCAAUUUCCCCGGAGCCAUGGAUUACCAAAAAAACCAAACUGAAGAAGCGAAGAAAGAGAGCCGCCCUAUGCUUCUCUGAAACCUAGUUAAACGAAUCAAUUGAAGAUAGCAGCCUGCAUAUCCCAGGGUUUCAGAUUCAACGAUCAGACAGAAUUGCAGAAACAUCUGGUAAAAAGAAGGGAUAUAUGCUUAUAUAUCAACUACAGUUGGUCUCAGGAUAUAACUAUAAUAUAUAAGUUCUGUGAUGAAAACCUAGAGACAUUAAUUAUCAACUGCAAACCAUACUAUUCGCCUCGUGAAUUUUACUCAUUUCUUCUAAUUGCUGUUUAUGUCCCACAACAAGCCUGUGUAAACAAGGCAUUACGAACUCUAGCUGACCAAAUUAUGGAGGCUGAAGCCAAAUACCCUGAUUUACUGGCCAUUAUUUUGGAAGAUCUAAACAAGGCAAACUUAAGGAAAGAGCUACCAAAAUACUUUCAGCAUUUCAAUUGUCUCACUAGAGGCAAGAAUACUUUAGACCAUUGCUACACAACACUAAAAGAUGCUUAUUGAUCCUUACCACGAGCAGCUGUGGGACACUCUGAUCAUUGCAUGAUUCAUCUUGUACCUGCUUACCGGCAAAGACUUAAAACCACCAACACACCAACAAUUAAAUCAGUGAAGACCUGGACGGAGGAGGCAAAGUUAAAGCUACAGGCCUGCCUUGACUGCACUGAUUGGAAUGUUUUCAAAAGUACCUCUGCAGACUUAGAUGAACUCACAGAGACUGUAACAUCAUAUGUCAGCUUCUGUGAAGACCUAUGUGUACCCACCAGGAACUUGCGAAUAUACAGUAACAACAAACCUUGGUUCACAGCUAAACUUAAGCUGCUACAUCAUUCCAAAGAGGAAGCCUACAGAAAAGGUGAUAAAAUGCUGUACAAUCAGGCCAGAAAUGUAUUAACAAGGGAGAUCAGAGCAGCAAAAAGAAGCUACUCUGAAAAGCUAAGGAAUCAGUUCUCAACAAAUGAACUAGCAAACAUGUAAAAAACUCUUAAAAAUAUCACCGGCUAUGGCAAACCUUCCCAGACUGAAGGAAAUCAGCAACUGGCAGAUGACCUGAACGUGUUUUACUGCAGGGUUGAAAGAAAACUACAGCCACCUAUCUCCACAACCCCCAUCUUAGACACACCAACAACAGCCAAGCCUCUUACAACUGACCCCAUCCCAUUGGGUUCACAACCCCUAGUGAUCACAGAAAAGGAAGUGCAAGACCUAUUUCACAGACAAAAGCCAGGAAAAGCUCCAGGCCCAGACAAGAUAACUCCUUCUUGCUUAAAAGUCUGUGCUAACCAAUUGGCCCCCAUCUUCACCCGUAUCUUCAGUAAAUCACUAGAGAUGUGCUAUGUUCCUCCUUGCUUCAAACACUCUACUAUCAUCCCAGUGCCGAAGAAGCCCACCAUCAAGGAACUGAAUGACUACAGACCAGUUGCUCUAACAUCUGUAGUCAUGAAAACCUUUGAAAGGCUAGUGCUGUCCCACUUGAAAACCAUCACGGAUCCGCUGUUAGACCCCUUGCAAUUUGCAUACCAAGCAAAUAGAUCGAUAGA